ACACUGGUGGUUCAGGGGUAGAAUUCUCACCUUCCAUGCGAGAGACCCAGGUUCAAGUCCCAGCCAACGCA
rnacentral:tRNA from 1 species